rnacentral:rRNA from 2 species
AGAGUUUGAUCCUGGCUCAGGACGAACGCUGGCGGCGUGCUUAACACAUGCAAGUCGAGCGAUGAAGCUUCCUUCGGGAAGUGGAUUAGCGGCGGACGGGUGAGUAACACGUGGGUAACCUGCCUCAAAGUGGGGGAUAGCCUUCCGAAAGGAAGAUUAAUACCGCAUAAUAUAAGAGAAUCGCAUGAUUUUCUUAUCAAAGAUUUAUUGCUUUGAGAUGGACCCGCGGCGCAUUAGCUAGUUGGUAAGGUAACGGCUUACCAAGGCAACGAUGCGUAGCCGACCUGAGAGGGUGAUCGGCCACAUUGGAACUGAGACACGGUCCAGACUCCUACGGGAGGCAGCAGUGGGGAAUAUUGCGCAAUGGGGGAAACCCUGACGCAGCAACGCCGCGUGGGUGAUGAAGGUCUUCGGAUUGUAAAGCCCUGUUUUCUAGGACGAUAAUGACGGUACUAGAGGAGGAAGCCACGGCUAACUACGUGCCAGCAGCCGCGGUAAUACGUAGGUGGCGAGCGUUGUCCGGAUUUACUGGGCGUAAAGGGUGCGUAGGCGGAUGUUUAAGUGGGAUGUGAAAUCCCCGGGCUUAACCUGGGGGCUGCAUUCCAAACUGGAUAUCUAGAGUGCAGGAGAGGAAAGCGGAAUUCCUAGUGUAGCGGUGAAAUGCGUAGAGAUUAGGAAGAACACCAGUGGCGAAGGCGGCUUUCUGGACUGUAACUGACGCUGAGGCACGAAAGCGUGGGUAGCAAACAGGAUUAGAUACCCUGGUAGUCCACGCCGUAAACGAUGGAUACUAGGUGUAGGGGGUAUCAACUCCCCCUGUGCCGCAGUUAACACAAUAAGUAUCCCGCCUGGGGAGUACGGUCGCAAGAUUAAAACUCAAAGGAAUUGACGGGGGCCCGCACAAGCAGCGGAGCAUGUGGUUUAAUUCGAAGCAACGCGAAGAACCUUACCUGGACUUGACAUCCCUUGCAUAGCCUAGAGAUAGGUGAAGCCCUUCGGGGCAAGGAGACAGGUGGUGCAUGGUUGUCGUCAGCUCGUGUCGUGAGAUGUUAGGUUAAGUCCUGCAACGAGCGCAACCCUUGUUAUUAGUUGCUACCAUUAAGUUGAGCACUCUAAUGAGACUGCCUGGGUAACCAGGAGGAAGGUGGGGAUGACGUCAAAUCAUCAUGCCCCUUAUGUCCAGGGCUACACACGUGCUACAAUGGUAGGUACAAUAAGACGCAAGACCGUGAGGUGGAGCAAAACUUAUAAAACCUAUCUCAGUUCGGAUUGUAGGCUGCAACUCGCCUACAUGAAGCUGGAGUUGCUAGUAAUCGCGAAUCAGAAUGUCGCGGUGAAUACGUUCCCGGGCCUUGUACACACCGCCCGUCACACCAUGAGAGCUGGUAACACCCGAAGUCCGUGAGGUAACCGUAAGGAGCCAGCGGCCGAAGGUGGGAUUAGUGAUUGGGGUGAAGUCGUAACAAGGUAGCCGUAGGAGAACCUGCGGCUG